GAUGAACGCUGGCGGUCUGCUUAACACAUGCAAGUCGAACGAACUCUUCGGAGUGAGUGGCGGACGGGUGAGUAACGCGUGAGAAUCUGCCUGUGGUCGGGACAACCACUGGAAACGUGCUAAUACCGGAUGAGCCGAAAGGUAAAGAUUUAUUGCCCCACAGAUGAGCUCGCGUCUGAUUAGCUAGUUGUAAGUAAAAGCGUACCAAGGUCGACGAUCAGUAGCUGGUCUGAGAGGAUGAGCAGCCACACUGGGACUGAGACACGGCCCAGACUCCUACGGGA
rnacentral:rRNA from 1 species